UCAUAUCGACGGCGCGGUUUGGCACCUCGAUGUCGGCUCAUCGCAUCCUGGGGCUGGAGCAGGUCCCAAGGGUACGGCUGUUCGCCGUUUAAAGCGGUACGCGAGCUGGGUUUAGAACGUCGUGAGACAGUUCGGUCCCUAUCUGCCGUGGGCGUUGGAGAAUUGAGGGAAGCUGCUCCUAGUACGAGAGGACCGGAGUGGACGAACCUCUGGUGUUCCGGUUGUGUCGCCAGACGCAUUGCCGGGUAGCUACGUUCGGACGGGAUAACCGCUGAAAGCAUCUAAGCGGGAAGCCCCUCCCAAGAAUAGUUCUCCCUGUCCCUUGAGGACUCUGAAGAGCCGUCCAAGACUAGGACGUUGAUAGGCUGGGUGUGGAAGCGCUGUAAAGCGUUGAGCUAACCAGUACUAAUUGCUCGUGAGGCUUGACCAUAUAAUCCA
rnacentral:rRNA from 1 species